UAAGUGGGAAACGAUGUGGGAAGGCCCAGACAGCCAGGAUGUUGGCUUAGAAGCAGCCAUCAUUUAAAGAAAGCGUAAUAGCUCACUGGUCGAGUCGGCCUGCGCGGAAGAUGUAACGGGGCUAAACCAUGCACCGAAGCUGCGGCAGCGACACUAUGUGUUGUUGGGUAGGGGAGCGUUCUGUAAGCCUGUGAAGGUGUGUCGUGAGGCAUGCUGGAGGUAUCAGAAGUGCGAAUGCUGACAUAAGUAACGAUA
rnacentral:rRNA from 1 species